GGGGUUAGGAUCUGGGGUGUGGUGUCUGUGGGUUAAGGCAGGGUGAGUGUUGAGGAAUCCUCUAGGUGUUCCAGAGACCACAGCAGCAUCACACAACUCCAGCAGUCAGUCUAUCUGUGAGCUUGAACAACUAGUGUCUCUGAGAGGCAAUCUUUCUGAACAUGGCUCUGAAAAUGGCUGCUAUGUGCCUUCUUCUCCAGCUCGUGCCACUAGGUUCUGGGGUGAAUCAGCCCCCCGACGUGCUCGUGGCUGAGGGCCUGAAUACGACCCUGCGCUGCUCCCAGAUCAGCACCUCCUACAACAGCAUGCUCUGGUACCUCCAGAGACACGGCCAGAAUCACCUCACUCUCAUAGUCCACGCAUACGUCAACAUGGUGACCAUGAGUGAGGGGUUGGAGGUCAGAUACUCGGCCACGCGACGCGGGACUGCACUGGAUCUCACCGUGACAACCGCCAACAGCUCAGACAAUGGGGUCUACUUCUGUGUCAAACAGGAAGCACAGUGGUAG